AGUUUGAUCCUGGCUCAGGACGAACGCUGGCGGCGUGCUUAACACAUGCAAGUCGAACGGUAAGGCCCUUCGGGGUACACGAGUGGCGAACGGGUGAGUAACACGUGGGUAAUCUGCCCUGCACUUCGGGAUAAGCCUGGGAAACUGGGUCUAAUACCGGAUAUUCAGUUCCUGCCGCAUGGUGGGGGUUGGAAAGUUUUUCGGUGCAGGAUGAGCCCGCGGCCUAUCAGCUUGUUGGUGGGGUAAUGGCCUACCAAGGCGACGACGGGUAGCCGGCCUGAGAGGGUGAUCGGCCACACUGGGACUGAGACACGGCCCAGACUCCUACGGGAGGCAGCAGUGGGGAAUAUUGCACAAUGGGCGAAAGCCUGAUGCAGCGACGCCGCGUGGGGGAUGACGGUCU
rnacentral:rRNA from 1 species